GAUGAACGCUGGCGGCGUGCCUAAUACAUGCAAGUCGAGCGAACAGACGAGGCUCUUGCUCCUCUGACGUUUGCGGCGGACGGGUGUGUCACACGUGGAUAACCUACCUAUAUGUCUGGGAUAUCUUCGGGAAACCGGAUCUUAUACCGGAUAAUAUCUUGAACCGCAUGGUUCAAUAGUGAAUGUCGGUUUUGCUGUCUCUUAUAGAUGCUUCCGCGCCGCAUUAGCUAGUUGGUAAGGUAACGGCUUAGCAAGGCAACGAUGCGUAGCCGACCGGAGAGGGUGAUCGGCGACACUGGAACUGAGACAGGGACCAUACGCCUACGGGAGGGAGCAGAAGGGAAUGUGCCGCAAUGGGCGAAAGCCUGACGGAGCAAGGCCGCGUGAGAGAUGAAGGUGUUCGGAGCGUAAAACUCUGUUAUGAGGGAAGAACAAAUGUGGAAGGAACUAUGCACGUAUUGACGGUACCUAAUCAGAAAGCAACGGCUAACUACGUG
rnacentral:rRNA from 1 species